rnacentral:rRNA from 1 species
UACGAAGGGGGCUAGCGUUGCUCGGAAUUACUGGGCGUAAAGCGCACGUAGGCGGAUUGUUAAGUCGAACGUGAAAUCCCCGGGCUCAACCCGGGAACUGCGUCCGAUACUGGAAGGCUUGAAUCCGGGAGAGGGAUGCGGAAUUCCAGGUGUAGCGGUGAAAUGCGUAGAUAUCUGGAGGAACACCGGUGGCGAAGGCGGCAUCCUGGACCGGCAUUGACGCUGAGGCGCGAAAGCCAGGGGAGCAAACGGG